rnacentral:rRNA from 1 species
GAUCCUGGCUUAGGAUGAACGCUAGCGACAGGCUUAACACAUGCAAGUCGAGGGGCAGCAUAAAAGUAGCAAUACUUGGUGGCGACCGGCGCACGGGUGAGUAACGCGUAUGCAACCUACCUAUCAGAGGGGAAUAACCCGGCGAAAGUCGGACUAAUACCGCAUAAAACAGGGACACCGCAUGGUGAUAUUUGUUAAAGAAAUUCGCUGAUAGAUGGGCAUGCGUUCCAUUAGGUAGUUGGUGAGGUAACGGCUCACCAAGCCGACGAUGGAUAGGGGAACUGAGAGGUUGGUCCCCCACACUGGUACUGAGACACGGACCAGACUCCUACGGGAGGCAGCAGUGAGGAAUAUUGGUCAAUGGGCGAGAGCCUGAACCAGCCAAGUCCGCGUGAAGGAAGAAGGAUCUAUGGUUCGUAAACUUCUUUUGCAGGGGAAUAAAGUGCAGGACGUGUCCUGUUUUGUAUGUACCCUGAGAAUAAGGAUCGGCUAACUCCGUGCCAGCCGCCGC